rnacentral:rRNA from 1 species
AGGACGAACGCUGGCGGCGUGCCUAACACAUGCAAGUCGAACGAGGUCCAACCGGUAGCAAUACCGGUGAAGAUCAAGUGGCGAACGGGUGAGUAGCACGUGAGCAACCUGCCCCGAAGACCGGGACAACACCGGGAAACCGGUGCUAAUACCGGAUAUCCCCACUGAGUCGCAUGGCUCGGUGAGGAAAUGGAUUCCGCUUCGGGAGGGGCUCGCGGCCUAUCAGCUUGUUGGUGAGGUAACGGCUCACCAAGGCUUCGACGGGUAGCUGGUCUGAGAGGACGAUCAGCCACACUGGGACUGAGACACGGCCCAGACUCCUACGGGAGGCAGCAGUGGGGAAUCUUGCACAAUGGGCGCAAGCCUGAUGCAGCAACGCCGCGUGAGGGACGAAGGCUUUCUGAGUUGUAAACCUCUUUCAGCAGGGACGAUUGUGACGGUACUGCAGAAGAGCCCGGCAACUACGUGCCAGCAGCCGCGGUAU